CUAUUUUUUAAUCUUUAUUUUCUGCCCAGAUCUAUAUUCAGGGCGCCGCCAUCUUUAUGUGGGUACACGUCAUCUGCCCACACUAGAUAGAGCUGUGAGAUUUCCAGCACAUGCCCAGUUAAACACUUGGGCAUGCGAACAGGAAUUUCAUCUAUUCAUUCAUUCGUCAGAAAGACGAAUGAAUAAAUAGAAAUUUCAGAUGAACAAACACUGAAUAUCAGUGUUUG